UCCCCCACAGAGGACACAAAUGAAUUGCAGGGUCUCAGGAGGAUAUUUAACAAUAUUUUAAGUGUAUCUUUGCACACCUCACAAAACAUUUUGGUGGGAGUUCAGGCUCUGCCCCUGAUGAUGGCUAUUGGUUUGUGUCUAGGUGAGGUGUGGCUUGAUAUAAAGGCAGAGUCAGCUGACUGCUGUCACUGUGGAUCUGCGCUCCAGCACACGGUAAGUUCACUCGUAGCAAUCUAAGGACAUUUACCAUAAAAUAUGUGUGUGUAUUUCCUUUGUUGACUGUAUAGCAUUAUUUUGUGAUCUUUAUCAUGAAGACAUACCCUUGUGACAGGUAGCUUAGUCUUUAUACAGUGAUGUGAGACAUUGCUUAUGAUAUUAACUAACUGCAUAAUGCAGGACUUCUGACUUACGCUGCCUGUUGUAACAUUUUAUAAAGCACACUGUCGUUUCCCCUGUGGACUGCAGGUGCUUUGUUUCUACACAUUAUAGCAGUUUCAGGGUUUGGAUCUGGAAUUUCAAGAUGUACUGGAAUAACACAGGAAGCCAAUAUCCCUCAGGCUUUCCCCCUCAGCCAAUGCCAGGAGGAUACCCUCCUCAAUGUCCACCAGGCAUCACCCCGUCCCAACCCUUCCCUCCUCAAUGUCCACCAGGCAUCACCCCGCCCCAACCCUUCCCUCCUCAGCCCUGUGGGCCACCUGUGUACUAUCCUGGAGCUCCACCUUGUGGAGGGUGUGGACCUGGCUAUGGUCCUGGUCAUGGGCAUGAUCAUAGUCAUGACUAUUGUCCUGGUCGAGGUCGAGGUCGAGGUCGUGGUCGUGGUCGCGGUCAUGGUCACGGGCAUCACGAGCAUGGGCACGGACACGGGCAUCAUGAGCAUGGGCACGGGCACGGGCAUCAUGAGCAUGGGCACGGGCAUCAUGAGCAUGGGCACGGGCACGGGCAUCAUGAGCAUGGGCACGGGCACGGGCAUCAUGAGCACGGGCAUGGGCAUGGGCCUGGGCACGGGCACGGGCAUGGGCAUGGCCACAAACACAAGCAUGGUCACAUGCAUUGCCAAUGCCACAAGAAAGGAAAGAAGUCCCACGGGUCCUCAAGCAGCUCCUGCAGCAGCGACUCGGACUAGAUGAAGAUGCUGGAAGGAAACAAGUUGCCACCUGGAAACCUUCAUCCUGCUACCUCAAAGCACUGCUUCCCAGCCUGGGGUCGGGACUCCACAUCUGUUAGCAAAGCUUUGCGGCGGCCUUGAUUUUUUACUAAUAAAAAAUUUAAAAAGUUGGCCUAUAUCUCAGAAGUUGAUUAAUUGAAAUUCUUAUUUUGAGAAGUUUUUAUUAUUAGUGAAGAUAUCUAUUUUUUAUUUUUUAUCUCACUGAUUAUGGGCACACUGAACACACGCUGCUAUAAGUAAGCCGUUAACACAACCAAAGAGCUAAUAAAACAAUGGCCAAGUGUUAGGGAGAAUAAAACACAGAAUCUCUCAAAAAAAGAAGUGAAAAAUGUUCCAUGUUUUUUUUUCAUCUGUAAAACAGGUGGAAAAAAAGUCAGGAUCAUUUUUAUUAAUUAAAAGUGUUUGUAAUGCUCAUUUCAGCCACAAGAGGCUGACGUGCACCACUACCACGUCUGCACCACCAGUGCAUGGAGAAAUUAAACUCACCUGGAAGAAAACCUGAAAAGCAUUUAGAACAUGAAAUAGUGGGACACGUCAGACUCUUGUGGUCGAAAGGAGUAUUACAGUAACAAACACUUGAUCCUGGCAAAACCUUUUUUCACUUGUUCUGAAGUUCUAAACACAAGAGAUAUUUUUUUUAAAUCAGACUUGGAAAUUGGAUCACCAGAAUAGUUUUUGAAAGGACUUUUGAAGUAGCGUAUACCUUUGAUGUGUUAGACACUGAUCAGUAAGUGUUCCCUUGUGAUAAACAACAUAAAGCUGUUUUUCUGUUCAUCAUUAAAGCAAGUCAUCCCUACGAUGCCCUGCUUCUCAAUUCUACAUUUUAUUUGACCUCAAGGUUUCCUAUUACACUGUGUGUGUUAUCUACCAGUGUGUAUUCAUAUUAUCUUUAUUUACCCAGGGAGCGUUGAAUUAAGACCUUUGUUCUAUAAUAGUUACACUCCCUGCCACUCCCCAUUACCUUCACAUGGACCCAGUUUUAAUCACCUGCAUAUUAAUGACGAAUGAGGUGGAGGGGUGGGGGAUUUCUAGCUAGAGUGUCGUACAGUGUAUACUGUUCAUAUUGACUGUAGGUUAAAGAUUACACACACACUCACACACACACACACACACACACACACACACACACACACACACACACACACACACACAACACACACACACACACACACACACACACACACACACACACACACACAAACAAACACACACACACCCAUUUAGGUCACAAAGCAAAAAGGUUCUGACGGGAGUUCAGGCACUGCCUCCAGUGAUGUAAAGUGGACUGCACAUAAAAAGAAGCAGCAGGUGACGACUGCGUCUGCUUGAUCUGCUCUCCAGCACACAGUAAGUUCAGCUCAGAAACUCUGCUGAGGAUUUGCAGCUCUUUAAGGUUUUGAAAUACAGAAUGAUUGUUUAUGUGUGUUAGAUGAAGAUGAACUUUGUUGAUUUGUUUAAAUUGCUUUUGUUUGUUUUAAGGAGUGAUCUGAGGUUUCAAAAUGUACGGACACAACCAAGGUAAAUAACACAGCCACUGUCAACUAUAAUAAAUAUGAAUGACAUACUUGAUAAUCACUUUUGCGAAGUAUAAUUUUUCCCUUAUGUUCAGGAAACCAGUACCCUCCUGGUUACCCAAACCAUCCUCAGCAGAUGCCAGCAGGAUACCCUCAUCCUCCAGGCUCUGUCCCACCACCAAACUACCCUCCUCAACACGGAGGCCAACACGGACCUGGACCUGGUUAUGGACCUGGACCUGGACCUGGUUAUGGACCUGGACCUGGUUAUGGACCUGGACCUGGACCUGGACAGGGCCACGGACCUGGACAGGGCCACGGACCUGGACCUGGACAGGGUCAUGGACAAGGCCAGGGCCACGGACACGGAGAGGGCCACGGACACGGCCAGUGCCACGGACAUGGAGAGGGCCACGGACACGGCCAGGGCCACGGACACGGAGAGGGCCACGGACACGGAGAGGGCCACGGACACGGCCAGGGCCAUGGACACGGAGAGGGCCACGGACAUGGGCACAAGCACAAGGAUGGUCACAAGCACAAGGAUGGUCACAAGCAUGGCAAGUGUCACAAGAAAGGAAAGGACUGUCACGGG
ensembl:lncRNA